GGACCUUUUUUUGUUUUUGUUUUUUGUUGAACAGAUAGUUUCAUUAAGGGACAAAGGCCGGAGAGCCAAGAAAGGCCCAAAACUGUUGUACAAACAAUUCUUGCUAAUUCCAACUGAACCAGGUACCCACCCGAGAGUUAACUGGACAAAAGCAAAAUUGAAACCAGCUGACUAAUUGCGGAGGGCCAUCAGUCUUCAGUACUCCAAGUAAGUAAGGAUGGUGGUGGCGUGUUUGGCAAGCGAAGCCACAGUGUGAGCGACUGAAUUCGCUUCUCGGGGGAUCCAAUCCCAGCAUAUUUCAGACAACUGGAGGCUUCUUCUUCUUCUUCUAGUCUCUUCAAUUAAUUAAUUAAAGGCAGAAUUGACCGAUCUAGCACAGCACACUGGUGAUUUCGGAUCAUCACUCCUAAACCACAAGCAGACCAAGCAGCAUCGCAAUUGAUCUUUACGAAUCCAUCUGAUAGAUUGAGCAGGGGGUUGAAGCGGAGGGGCUGAGAUCAAGCUUCUUGUUCCCCAAUAUUCAUAAGCCAAAUUUGAUCCACUUCUGAUGAUCAAUUGAGGACUCGGCGGCUUCUUUUGGUAAAUAAAUUCACACCUCGCAGUCCAAAUCUUCCAGCACUCCAAUAGAAGCUUAUCAAGGCACCAUUCUUGUUCCAUGGCCAUAUGAGGCGAUCGGAACCUUCACCAUCACCAAUAGGUAAAGACAGAAAUGUGGCCAAGAGACCAAGCCCGGGUAUCCCAAUCAAUCAAUGAGUAGACUCAAUCAGGGUAGUUUAAGCCCGGGUAUCCCUAACCGAAGUUUGGGGUUAUAAGUGGCCAGCUCUACCGGUACCAGCCUGGUUUUGUUGCAUAUAUGAUUAACCAAGUCUUUGAUUAACCGUAAACUUUAUACAUUCGCUUUGAUACUUAGAUAAGAUAAUCAAGCCUUUGAUUUCCUUCACUUUUGCUAUUGUUCAUGCAGAUGUUCGAUGGGCACUAUUGUUUAAUUUUGGACUCCUAUUCCUGGUAAAUAUUUAUAUUGGGGGGCUCCAUUUGUCAUGGUGCCUUUGAUCAAGAAAUGGAGACAAGACAUUUGUCAAUGCACAGAACUAUCGAAGAUUUUCUGCACUAUGGUAGCAACUUUGUGCCAAUAAGGUAUUCUUACUCAGAAAUUAAGAUGUCCAACAAUUUCAAGAACAAGCUGGGUGAAGGAGGCUAUGGCUCUGUAUUUAGAGGAGUAUUACGUAGUGGCCGUUUUGGAGCCAUUAAGAUGUCUGGGAAAUUCCAAAUCAAAUGGACAAGAUUUUGUGAGCAAAGUGGCUACAAUUGGAAGGAUUUACAAUGUAUAUCAAUGUGGUGCAACUUGUUGGUUAUUGUCUUGAGGGAUCAAAACGUGCUCUAGUCUAUUAUUUCAUGUCUAAUGGGUCACUUGACAAAUACAUUUAUUCCAAUGCAGAGACUACCCCGUAAAGUGUCAAGAAAAGGUAUGAGAUCCCUCUCAGAGUGGCUCAAGGGAUCAAAUAUCUUCAUGAUCGAAGUUGUGAGAUGCAAAUUUUGCAUUUUGAUAUCAAGCCUCACAACAUUCUUCUUGAUGAGAAUUUCAUUCAAAAAAUUUCUGGCUAUGGUCUUGCAAAGUUAUAUGCAAUUGAUGAUUGUAUUGUGUCUUUGACGGCAGCACGGGGGACAAUUGGAUAUAUUGUGCCAGAGUUGUUCUACAAAAAUAUCGGAGGUGGCAUGUAUAUAGUUGAUGUGUAUAGUUUUGGAAUGUUGUUGAUGGAAAUGGCAAGUAGACGGAAAAAUUUCAAAGAAUAAAGGAUGCUUCACAUCUACUGUAUCUGAGUGCAUCUCAUGGUGUUCAUAAUCUUCAGCAGUUCCAGAAACUAAAGGAUGCUAUUUAAUUAAACAACAUCUACACCAUCAUCUAUCCCCAUGCUCUAUGGCUGCUGUCAAUGUUGUUGUAUCCCUAAGUAUACAGGUUGCGAAUUCUAAUGUUCGUUAAAAUGCCCUGCAUUUACUUUUGGACUUGUUCCCUCUUCAAGAUCCUGAUUCGAUUGAAGAGGUCAAAGAUUUAUGGCUUGAUAAGCAGUUCUUUUUAUUGGCGAAAUUACUUGUAGAUGAUUGUCCAGAGGUGAGAGUGGUUGCAGUGGAAAGUUCUUGUCAAAUUCUUCCAUCUGUUUUGGGAAGUAAUCCCUUUGCGUACCAUCACAAAGUUAGUUACUAGAAUUUUUGAUGAUAUGUCACAUGAUACAAGUCAUGAGGUUAGGCUUUCCACACUGAAUGGCACUAUGCGUUUGUUUGGCAAUCCCCCAUGUCAUCAAUUUCUUAAUGUGCUUCUACCCAGAUUGGGGCAUUUGAUGAUGGACAAUGUCCUAUCAAUAAGAGUUGCCAUGGCAGAUCUCCUCCUUAUUACGGGAUAUUCAAAAUUUCCAUUUCCAUAAGGUAGUGAAGUUAGAUGAACUAUUAUCAACCCUUGAAAAUGAUCAACCUCAAGUUGCUCAGAAAAUUGCAAGGUUGCUUAUGCCAUCAUACUUUCCCUCAAAAGAAACAGUUGAAACAGCAUGCAAUCGUUGUACUACAAUUGUAAAAAGGUCUCUGAUGGCUGGAGCAAGGUUUUGUGAAUUUGCUGCGUCCCAAGGGGCAUCUCUUAAGUCUCUGAUGGAACUUGUUAGGGUAAUGAUUACUUGGUCCUUACGCUUAAUAAUCUGUAUGAACAACAAGUUGAGGGUUUACUUACUUCUUCUUCCAACCUUUGCAAUACCCUAGCUGGUGAGCCAGUUUUCAAGAAAGAGCUUAAAUAAUUAUUUGAUGGUGAAAAGUUGAAGUGCUUGAUUGCUGCGGCACCUACUGGGCCUGCUCAGUCUUGUGUUUUCAACAUUGUUUCAACUGUCUCUAGCUUCUGAUGAUGUGGCAGGAUAUCUUGAUGAAUGUAUGCAUCUGGUGACUAAUUGUAGUGGUUUAUCCAAAAAUGUGGCUGGAGAAGCAAUCUAAAGUGAGGUCUGCUCACAAUUUGUUGCUGUCUUGUGAUGCGAUUGAUGGUAUGCUGGAAGCACUAACAGCACUUCUGCAGAAAUCAGCCUAUCGUUGCCAUAUUAAAUAUGGCAGUGAAAUUAAGAACUUGAGUGUUUUCUCUGCGAAAAGAAGGAAAUCAAAGUCCUCUGGCAAAGUUUCAGCUCGACAUAAACAUGUUAGUAGAAAAAAAGUCACCAGUUUUGGGGAGGAUUAUUCAGUUGCGGCAGGAAUAGCCUGGCAAAUCAGGGACUCGCUUGUAUCUGUCAAUAUUCAGAAGGCUAUAUUGGGAUCUCAAACUCUAGAAUCCUUACUUAUAUUAAAGGUCAUUUCCGAGGUCAGCAUUCUGGCAUGCAUUAUGAAUGUAUGGACACAUUUCCUGCUUCAGCAUAUACAGAUCUUGCGCUGCAUUCAUCUUUUCAAAAUGUCUCUUCCAAUAAAAAUGAUAGGACUCAUUCAUCAGGGUCUACUUUGGAGACCGAGUUGGAACAGGCAUUGAAUCAUGUGCUUAAUUGUACAGAGAAGCGAUGUGGAGUAGGCUAUUCUGGACAGUCUACCAGAGUUUAUUCAGAAUCUAAGCAUGGUAGCGAUAAGUCUGCAAGUUGUCGUGAGAAAAGGCACAGAGAACCUCAAACACAUGCCUCCAUUCCAAGCAAGAUCAGUGAAGUUGAAUGGUGAAUUGGCUUUCAGUCUUCAAUGAUUGAGUAGGCACUAUCUACGUUCAUUCGACAUGGUCUUCUGCGCUAUUACACAUUGCGUAGCUUGGUAUUUAUUUGUUCAAGGUUACAGUCUUUUUUUGUGGAUAUCAUUUAAAAUUAAACAAUGAAGGUGCAAAGCAUAUCCACUUUGUUCUAUGGUAAAUAUAUUUCAUUUCUUCACACAAGUAGUGUUUAAUAUAAUCAACAAUUUAUGCAGGAAAUGUAUAUACUGAACCAAAGAAGGUGGCCAACAAGGUGAAGAUGCUUACUGCAGUCCAAAGGUUCAUGAUCGAUGCUGCAUUGCUGCUACAAUAGGUUUUGCUCCUCAAGCUCAGGAAAGGUGCUUAACAUCCACAUCAGGUUAUAUACGAUGUGUCAUAUGACUCAUAUCUACUUUGGAGCAACAACCUUGUGAGAAAAUUGAUUUUGAGGAGGAAGAUUUGAAAAGCUCCUUCACCUAUGCAGCAAAGUUGCUUAAUCUAGCUCUUAAAGAUGCGACUGAAGCUUCACCACCUCCAGCAGAAGCUUCUGAUCUUGCCAACUAUAUGCUUGAUUUAAUCAUCUCGAUUGAAUUAUACUUGGGCAGUUGGGCUAAACCUAUGCUGGACAGUUGGCGGCAGCAGUGAAGCCUUGGGUUCCUGACUUGAUUUUGGCAUUAGGAUCUGGGCACAUUAUGAAACAGAUUAUGGGAGAAGAUCGCAAACGAGUCCAGCUAAUCGCAUCAGAGUCCACUUUCCAUCAUGGCUCUUAAUGUAAAGUCAAGACUGAGCUCUCUGAAGCUAGUGAACCUGAUGAGUUUCCUGCUUUGAAGAAACUUCUUACAAUGAUUGUCAAAUUGUUAAAAUAAAAUCUCAGCAUGCAGGGUGUGUCUGGGGCGAUCUUCAUGAUUGGCUCUAUAGUAGGGCUGGAAAAGAAAAAUUUUAGGCUAGUUUCCGGACUUCUACGCUUCGUAUGCCUGAAGAUAUUUAAGCAUGAUGAUAGAGAAUGGGGUGACUUGAUGUUGGCAUUUCUGCAAGAUAUCUACCCUCAGAUUGAGAGAGAAAUCGAGGAAGAGUGUGAUGAAGAUGGAAGGGAAAAACUGGAAAAAGCCAAGGACUUGCUGGAACCUAUUUGAUUGCAUCAUCCGCAUGAAACUGGGAGGUUCUCUAUGAUGGAGGAGUAGAUGGAGAACAUGAGCCUCACAUGUAUGUGAACAUGAUUUUCCCCCUGCAUCCCUUAGCUUCAUAUGUAUAUGUUAUGUUAUGGAUUGAAAAAAAUCUCUAGCCAUAAAUCCAAGAUUGUUGCCUGCACAUGCCCUAUAGUAGUAUAGAUCAUUUGUGCCACCUGAUUCUGAUGGGGAGGAGUAUAGAUUGUGAAAGUAGGUGUUGACCUUUUCAUUUUGUCCCAUUUCUCUUUUCUA